CGGUUAGAAUAUUCCGAUUCAAAACAAAGGGAGCCGUUUUAUUGGCUCCUAUGUCAGACCGGAUGUGCCUCGCAGCCAAUCAGAGCGAAGAUACUUAUCUUUUUAGCGUUCAUAGUAAAAUGAUAUCAGGACUUUAUCCUCGGUCGGUUAACGUGUUUCGCUUGAAUUUCGACGCUUAAUAAGUGAAAAUAUUAUUCAGGCAUAUGUUUAUUUAGUAUUUACUUUGUUAUGUUACAAGUACUGCGGAUAAUCAUAGGCAACAUUACUCCAGAUGGCAGCAGUGUUGGCAAACUGACGCCGACAUAAAACGCAACACGAGGAAGAGACGUUCACGGUCCUGAGUUCAAACUCACGAGCGGGACAACGAGCUGUCCUCCCUGGGGGGCUCGGCUCCGUGAAACUCAACCAACAUGGAGUUUGACGAUAGUCUUUUAAUCCAACGAAGCGUCGCUGCAGCCCCGGAGGCAGAAGACAAGCAGCGGGUGACUCUGCACUGUCAGCAGUGCCACACCGUGCUGGGGGGCUCCCUCGGUGUGUGUGUGGGGAGAUUACAUGCAUGGACUCCAUCGUGUGUAUAAGAGUUACCGAUGACGUGGUCGUCAGUGAUGCCAUGGAGUCAGGACAUAAAGGGGAAAUGGCUAAUUGCAUCUACAGUUCUCUAAAGUGCCGCGGCUGCUGCUGUGAAAAAAACAUCAUUCUUCCACCUCAGAAAUAUAGCUAAAAUCAGACAAUUUAUAAAUCAAAAGGAUGCUGAAAAACUAAUCCAUGCUUUUAUCUCAAGCCAA